rnacentral:rRNA from 1 species
UACGUAGGUGGCAAGCGUUGUCCGGAAUUAUUGGGCGUAAAGCGCGCGCAGGCGGUCCUUUAAGUCUGAUGUGAAAGCCCACGGCUCAACCGUGGAGGGUCAUUGGAAACUGGGGGGACUUGAGUACAGAAGAGGAAAGCGGAAUUCCACGUGUAGCGGUGAAAUGCGUAGAGAUGUGGAGGAACACCAGUGGCGAAGGCGGCUUUCUGGUCUGUAACUGACGCUGAGGCGCGAAAGCGUGGGGAGCAACAGG